CACCGUGGAUUCCCUUAGUAACGGCGAGCGAACCGGGAACAGCCCAGCUUGAAAAUCGGAUGACCUCGUCGUUCGAAUUGUAAUCUGGAGAAGCGUCCUCAGCGGCGGACCGGACCCAAGUCCCCUGGAAGGGGGCACCAGAGAGGGUGAGAGUCCCGUUGUGCCCGGACCCUGUCGUACCACGAGGCGCUGUCAUCGAGUCGGGUUGUUUGGGAAUGCAGCCCCAAUCGGGCGGUAAAUUUCGUCCAAGGCUAAAUAUUGACGAGAGACCGAUAGCAAACAAGUACCGCGAGGGAAAGAUGAAAAGGACUUUGAAAAGAGAGUCAAAGAGUGCUUGAAAUUGUCGGGAGGGAAGCGGAUGGGGGCCGGCGAUGCACCUCGGUCGGAUGUGGAACGGUUUAUAGCCGGUCUACCAAUCGGCUCGGGGUGUGGACCAGUGUCGAUUGGGACGGAGGCCCAAGCCCAGGCUUUUGUUACGCCUGUGGAGACGCCUUCUUCUCGAUCGUUCUUUGCAGUGUGAGCCAUUUGGCGUGCUUCGGCAUCAUCACGCUUCAAGCACUGGCCUGUGGGCUCCCCAUUCGACCCGUCUUGACACGAUAUCAUAGUUCCUGGACUGUAGGCCCCUUUUGGUGACCAAAUGCCGCAAACGGGCUAAAACAAAAAUCACCAGGGGAAAAGGUUCUUGGGUUGUGUACCUCAACCCUGGGGCUAGGGCUCCCACCCAUCCCCCUGGUCACCCCCCUUUCCAUUGUAAACCGGUCUGACCGGUUCCCAUCCCCCCGGGUUUUCCCGGCCCAUUCAAUUCCCUUCCAACAUUUUAGCAAGCUUUUCCUU
rnacentral:rRNA from 1 species